rnacentral:rRNA from 1 species
GUGGGGAAUCUUGCGCAAUGGGCGAAAGCCUGACGCAGCCAUGCCGCGUGAAUGAUGAAGGUCUUAGGAUUGUAAAAUUCUUUCACCGGGGACGAUAAUGACGGUACCCGGAGAAGAAGCCCCGGCUAACUUCGUGCCAGCAGCCGCGGUAAUACGAAGGGGGCUAGCGUUGCUCGGAAUUACUGGGCGUAAAGGGCGCGUAGGCGGACAGUUUAGUCAGAGGUGAAAGCCCAGGGCUCAACCUUGGAAUUGCCUUUGAUACUGGCUGUCUUGAGUUUGGGAGAGGUGAGUGGAACUCCGAGUGUAGAGGUGAAAUUCGUAGAUAUUCGGAAGAACACCAGUGGCGAAGGCGACUCACUGGCCCAAUACUGACGCUGAGGCGCGAAAGCGUGGGGAGCAAACAGGAUUAGAUACCCGGGUAGUCC